GUAGGGAAUAUUGCGCAAUGGACGAAAGUCUGACGCAGCGACGCCGCGUGAGUGAUGAAGGCCUUAGGGUCGUAAAGCUCUGUUGAAUGGGAAGAAAAAAAUGACGGUACCAUUCGAGGAAGGACCGGCUAACUUCGUGCCAGCAGCCGCGGUAAUACGAGGGGUCCUAGCGUUGUUCGGAAUCAUUGGGCGUAAAGUGUGUGUAGGUGGCCAUGUAAGUCAGGUGUGAAAGCCCCGGGCUCAACCCGGGAAGUGCACUUGAUACUGCGUGGCUUGAGUACCGAAGAGGGUAGUGGAAUUCCAGGUGUAGUGGUGAAAUACGUAGAUAUCUGGAGGAACACCGGUGGCGAAGGCGGCUACCUGGUCGAGUACUGACACUGAGACACGAAAGCAUGGGGAUCAAACAGGAUUAGAAACCCCAGUAGUCC
rnacentral:rRNA from 1 species